GGUGAACGCUGGCGGCGUGCCUAACACAUGCAAGUCGAGCGGUGCAGUUUGAAGCUUCGGUGGAAAGCUGCAUAGCGGCGGACGGGUGAGGAAAGCGUAGGAACGUGCCCCUUGGAGUUGGAUAGCCACGGGAAACUGUGGGUAAACCGACAUAGACUCGAGAGAGUAAAGGCCGAAAGGCGCCAAGGGAGCGGCCUGCGGCCCAUCAGGUAGUUGGUAGUGUAAAGGACUACCAAGCCGACGACGGGUAGCCGGUCUGAGAGGAUGGCCGGCCACAAGGGCACUGAGAGACGGGCCCUACUCCUACGGGAGGCAGCAGUGGGGAUUUUGGACAAUGGGCGAAAGCCUGAUCCAGCGACGCCGCGUGGAGGACGAAGCCCUUCGGGGUGUAAACUCCUUUUCUCAGGGAAAAAGGAUGAUGGUACCUGAGGAAUAAGCCCCGGCUAACUACGUG
rnacentral:rRNA from 1 species